UCUAAAAAGAAAUACCCUAACUCCCCCUCAAAUUAGAACCACCUAAAGGGGGAAUUCCUCCCCAUUUUCCAAAAAACGAAAUUCAAGCCAUGAUGUAUGUGUGUGUGUGUGUGUGUGUAAAUGUUAUAAUGUGCAUCAGUUACACGUUAUUGAAAUUGAUGAACUGAAUUGAAAAUUAAUUGAAAUUUCGAUUUAUGUACAUUUCAAAAACAGCUAUGCCAGAAGAGACAGUCCUACAUACGACCCCUACAAACGGUAAGUGAUAAUGGGUUGAUACUUAGCACAUUGAACUGAAAUUCAGAUUGCCCCAAUAUUGAAAUUCUGACCAAAAUCAAAUAUUUAUAUAUAUAAAAACUUCAACAUUAAUGAUCAGUAUGGAACAGAUAACAGAUAUAUUAUGUAUCAACUGCUGCAUACACUACCUGGGAUCCGUUAUUUUAUUUUAUUUUUUCAUAAAUUGAUAAAGUGACACUAAAUGACAUUAAUGAUGUUACUAAAGAUUUCUAUUUCAAAUAAAUGCUGUUUUUUUCUAUUCAUCCUAAAAGUGGUUUCCAUGAAAAUAUUAAGCAGCACAGCUGUUUUCAACAUUAAUACGAAUAAGAAACAUUUAUGGAGCACCAAAUUAGCAUAUUAAAAUGAUUCCUGUAAGAUUAUGUGACACUAAAGAAUGGAGUAAUGGUCCCAAACUUUUUAUUAGUAGUGUACAUCAUGUAUUGAUAAUGUUUCAUUCUUACCACUCUAUUUUCCCUCCUUUUUGUCCCAGGCCAGAGUCAGACUCAAGUUCGGAGUCACGCUCUCGUUCUCGAACUCCAGGCAAAGAUAAGAUCACUUUCAUCACCAGUUUUGGGGGCAGUGAUGAUGAGGGAGCAUCAGCUACACAAGCCCCACCUGCGGCGGCGUCAAGCCACACCUCCUCCAACACCGCAGGUCAUAGCAGGGGCUCCCGCCGAAGACGUUCUUCCUCCAGUCACUCGUCCUUUUCCUCCCGCUCCUCUUCACAUCGGUCCUCACACUCAUCCUCACGUUCCCGCCGGAGUCGUCGUUCUCGCGGGGGCAGGGACCGGGACAGCCGUUACUCCAGGUCUCGAUCUUGCUCUCGGCGGCGGUCUGACUCCCGUUCACGGCAACGCAGUGGAGGAGUUGGCUCAAGGAGACGAUACGACAGGACUAGGUCUCGUU
ensembl:lncRNA